rnacentral:ncRNA from 1 species
GAAAAAACUAUGAUUAGGAAAAGUAACUUAGACUUAACUUUAAGAGAAUAGCUGGUUGGUGCAAAGCUAUAGGGAAGCUAAGAGAAAAUCACCUAGGAGUUGGAAACUGAAAAGCUGUAGCUUAUUAAGUUAUCACGUUGCCUGCGUUAAAGGAUAGAGUAUGUUUGUACUUGAACUAAACACUAUUUAUGAAAGUGUUAACCUUAGGUGGUUUGCGAUUUUAACUUCGUCCUGUGG